rnacentral:rRNA from 1 species
UUCGGUUAAGUUAUGAAGGGCGCACGGUGGAUGCCUUGGCACUAGGAGCCGACGAAGGACGGGACUAACACCGAUAUGCUUUGGGGAGCUGUAAGUGAGCUUUGAUCCAGAGAUUUCCGAAUGGGGGAACCCAUUGUUCGUAAUG